GCAUAUCAAUAAGCGGAGGAAAAGAAAAUAACAAUGAUUCCCCUAGUAACUGCGAGUGAAGAGGGAUAAGCUCAAAUUUUAAAUCUGUUAGGUUUUACCUAACCGAAUUGUAAUUUGAAGAAGCGUUUUCGCGGGUGUUUGAUGGUCUAAGUCCUUUGGGAUGAGGUAUCAUGGAGGGUGAUAAUCCCGUACGGCCAUCAUUGCUUGUGUACGAUACGCUUUCAAAGAGUCAAGUUGUUUGGGAUUGCAGCUUAAAAUGGGAGGUAAAUUUCUCCUAAGGCUAAAUAUUGGCGAGAGACCGAUAGCGAACAAGUACCGUGAGGGAAAGAUGAAAAGCACUUUGAAAAGAGAGUUAAAUAGUACGUGAAAUUGUUGAAAGGGAAACGAUUGAAGCCAGUCGUACCGACGGAGAAUCAACCUUUGGAGUGCGAGUCGAGGUAUUCGAGGAGUUUAAAAGCCCUUGUGUGCUUCCGUAUCGUGCUUCUUGGGUGCUUUUCUUCGUAUGGUAGGUUAACAUCAAUUUUGGACGUUACAAAAUGACUGGGGGAAUGUAGCUUCGAUUUUUCGAAGUGUUAUAGCCCUUGGUAGAUGUGACGACCGGGAUUGAGGAUUGCAACGAAUGCUUUCGGGCUAUCCGUCUGACCUCUGGUGGUUGCUUUGGGGUCGAAAGCAUGCUUACGGCUUUAAAGUUGGCUAUCAAAAGGCUAGAACGUGAUUAAAUUCGUUAAGGAUGUUGACGUA
rnacentral:rRNA from 1 species